UCCCNCAUGGGAAUAUUUGUUAAAGAUUCAUCGCUGAUAGAUAGGCAUGCGUUCCAUUAGGCAGUUGGCGGGGUAACGGCCCACCAAACCGACGAUGGAUAGGGGUUCUGAGAGGAAGGUCCCCCACAUUGGUACUGAGACACGGACCAAACUCCUACGGGAGGCAGCAGUGAGGAAUAUUGGUCAAUGGCCGAGAGGCUGAACCAGCCAAGUCGCGUGAAGGAAGAAGGAUCUAUUGGUUUGUAAACUUCUUUAUAGGGGAAUAAAGUGGAGGACGUGUCCUUUUUGUAUGUACCCUAUGAAUAAGCAUCGGCUAACUCCGUG
rnacentral:rRNA from 1 species